GUGGGGAAUAUUGGACAAUGGGCGAAAGCCUGAUCCAGCCAUGCCGCGUGUGUGAAGAAGGUCUUCGGAUUGUAAAGCACUUUAAGUUGGGAGGAAGGGCAGUAAGUUAAUACCUUGCUGUUUUGACGUUACCGACAGAAUAAGCACCGGCUAACUUCGUGCCAGCAGCCGCGGUAAUACGAAGGGUGCAAGCGUUAAUCGGAAUUACUGGGCGUAAAGCGCGCGUAGGUGGUUUUGUGAGUUGGAGGUGAAAUCCCCGGGCUCAACCUGGGAACUGGCUCCAAAACUGCAUGACUAGAGUACGGUAGAGGGUAGUGGAAUUUCCUGUGUAGCGGUGAAAUGCGUAGAUAUAGGAAGGAACACCAGUGGCGAAGGCGACUACCUGGACUGAUACUGACACUGAGGUGCGAAAGCGUGGGGAGCAAACAGGAUUAGAAACCCGUGUAGUCC
rnacentral:rRNA from 1 species